rnacentral:rRNA from 1 species
UACGAAGGGGGCUAGCGUUGUUCGGAAUCACUGGGCGUAAAGCGCACGUAGGCGGAUCUUAAGUCAGGGGUGAAAUCCCGGGGCUCAACCUCGGAACUGCCUUUGAUACUGGGGAUCUCGAGUCCGGGAGAGGUGAGUGGAACUGCGAGUGUAGAGGUGAAAUUCGUAGAUAUUCGCAAGAACACCAGUGGCGAAGGCGGCUCACUGGCCCGGUACUGACGCUGAGGUGCGAAAGCGUGGGGAGCAAACAGG